rnacentral:rRNA from 1 species
UACGAAGGGUGCAAGCGUUGUUCGGAUUUAUUGGGCGUAAAGAGCAUGUAGGCGGAUUGCCAAGUCAGGUGUGAAAUCUCGGAGCUUAACUUCGAAACAGCGCCUGAAACUAGUAGUCUAGAAUACUAAAGAGGGAAGGGGAAUUUCUCAUGUAGGGGUAAAAUCCGUAGAGAUGAGAAGGAACAUCAGAGGCGAAGGCGCCUUCCUGGUUAGUAAUUGACGCUGAGGUGCGAAAGCGUGGGGAGCAAACAGG